UCUACACAACAUCUGAUGGACUA
rnacentral:siRNA from 1 species